GAUGAACGCUAGCGGCAGGCCUAACACAUGCAAGUCGAGGGAGAAGCCCUUCGGGGCAGAAACCGGCGCACGGGUGCGUAACGCGUAUGCAACCUACCUUUCACAGGGGGAUAGCCCGAAGAAAUUUGGAUUAAUACCCCAUAAUAUUAUUGGAUGGCAUCAUUUGAUAAUUAAAAUUACGAUGGUGAAAGAUGGGCAUGCGUCCUAUUAGCUAGUUGGAGUGGUAACGGCACCCCAAGGCUACGAUAGGUAGGGGUCCUGAGAGGGAGAUCCCCCACACUAGUACUGAGACAGGGACCAGACUCCUACGGGAGGCAGCAGUGAGGAAUAUUGGUCAAUGGUCGGAAGACUGAACCAGCCAUGCCGCGUGCAGGAAGAAUGCCUUAUGGGUUGUAAACUGCUUUUAUAUGGGAAGAAUAAGGCGUACG
rnacentral:rRNA from 1 species